rfam:Serratia symbiotica str. Tucson genomic scaffold scaffold00333, whole genome shotgun sequence.
AUAUGGACAAAAUCCGACCUAAUUGCUGUACUGUAAUGGACACACUUCUAGUGUCUUACAUUCACGUUAAAGGUAAGUUUGAUGUCUAAGAUUAAAGGUAGCGUUAAAUGGUUUAAUGAAUCCAAAGGUUUCGGCUUCAUUACUCCAGAAGAUGGUAGCAAGGAUGUUUUCGUUCAUUUCUCUGCCAUUGCUAGCAACGGUUUUAAAACUCUUGCGGAAGGACAGCAUGUAGAAUUUGAAAUCACCAACGGCGCUAAAGGGCCAUCUGCUGCUAACGUUAUCGCUAUUUAAGCUACAGUAGAAGAAAUUCCUAAAACCCGCUCUCUGAGUGGGUUUUUUAU